CCUGCUGCCAGCCAGCUCCCACCACCCACAGGGGCUGUUCCCAUCACACCGGGGCUGUUCCCAUCACCCACAGGGGCUGCACCCACCACCCACAGGGGCUGCUCCCAUCACACCGGGGCUGUUCCCACCACCCAGAGCUGCUCCCAUCACCCAGGGCUGCUCCCAUCACACCCAGGGACUGCUCCCAUCACCCAGGGCUGCUCCCAUCACACCGGGGCUGUUCCCAUCACACCGGGGCUGUUCCCCCAUCACACCGGGGCUGCACCCACCACCCACAGGGGCUGCUCCCACCACCCAGGGGCUGCUCCCAUCACCCAGGGGCUGCUCCCAUCACACCGGGACUGCUCCCAUCACCCAGGGCUGUUCCCAUCACCCAGGGCUGCUCCCAUCACCCAGGGGCUGCUCCCAUCACCCACAGGGGCUGUUCCCAUCACACCGGGGCUGCACCCACCACCCACAGGGGCUGCUCCCAUCACCCAGGGGCUGCUCCCAUCACACCGGGACUGUUCCCAUCACACAGGGGCUGUUCCCACCACCCAGAGCUGCUCCCACCACCCAAGGACUGCUCACAUCACACAGGGGCUGCACCCAUCACCCAGGGGCUGCUCCCAUCACCCAGGGAUUGCUCCCAUCACCCAGGACUGCUCCCAUCACCCAGGACUGCUCCCACCACCCAGGGACUGCUCCCAUCACCCAGGGCUGUUCCCAUCACCCAGGACUGCUCCCAUCACCCAGGGACUGCUCCCAUCACCCAGGGACUGCUCCCAUCACCCAGGGGCUGCUCCCAUCACCCAGGGCUGCUCCCAUCACCCAGGGACUGCUCCCAUCACCCAGGGACUGCUCCCAUCACCCAGGGGCUGCUCCCAUCACCCAGGGGCUGCUCCCAUCACCCAGGGAUUGCUCCCAUCACCCAGGGACUGCUCCCACCUCGGCAGCCCCAGCUCUGCUCCAGCCAACAGCAGCAGCAGGAGGAGGAGGAGGAAGGAAGGGAAGGAAGGAGCUCCCUU
rnacentral:lncRNA from 1 species